UAAGUUGCAGGGUAUAGACCCGAAACCCGGUGAUCUAGCCAUGGGCAGGUUGAAGGUUGGGUAACACUAACUGGAGGACCGAACCGACUAAUGUUGAAAAAUUAGCGGAUGACCUGUGGCUGGGGGUGAAAGGCCAAUCAAACCGGGAGAUAGCUGGUUCUCCCCGAAAGCUAUUUAGGUAGCGCCUCGUGAACUCAUCUCCGGGGGUAGAGCACUGUUUCGGCUAGGGGGCCAUCCCGGCUUACCAACCCGAUGCAAACUGCGAAUACCGGAGAAUGUUAUCACGGGAGACACACGGCGGGUGCUAACGUCCGUCGUGAAGAGGGAAACAACCCAGACCGCCAGCUAAGGUCCCAAAGUCAUGGUUAAGUGGGAAACGAUGUGGGAAGGCCCAGACAGCCAGGAUGUUGGCUUAGAAGCAGCCAUCAUUUAAAGAAAGCGUAAUAGCUCACUGGUCGAGUCGGCCUGCGCGGAAGAUGUAACGGGGCUAAACCAUGCACCGAAGCUGCGGCAGCGAACGUAUCACCCAAGACAACUUUACGGAGUUAACGAUUGACGGAGCGAAGCGACGUCAAAGCGUUCAUUAAAGUCGAGUUGGCUUAGGGAUACGUUCGUUGGGUAGGGGAGCGUUCUGUAAGCCUGUGAAGGUGGCCUGUGAGGGUUGCUGGAGGUAUCAGAAGUGCGAAUGCUGACAUAAGUAACGAUAAAGCGGGUGAAAAGCCCGCUCGCCGGAAGACCAAGGGUUCCUGUCCAACGUUAAUCGGGGCAGGGUGAGUCGACCCCUAAGGCGAGGCCGAAAGGCGUAGUCGAUGGGAAACGGGUUAAUAUUCCCGUACUUGGUGUUACUGCGAAGGGGGGACGGAGAAGGCUAUGUUGGCCGGGCGACGGUUGUCCCGGUUUAAGCGUGUAGGUGUGUGUUCCAGGUAAAUCCGGUUCACUUUAACACUGAGGCGUGAUGACGAGGCACUACGGUGCUGAAGCAACAAAUGCCCUGCUUCCAGGAAAAGCCUCUAAGCAUCAGGUAACAUCAAAUCGUACCCCAAACCGACACAGGUGGUCAGGUAGAGAAUACCAAGGCGCUUGAGAGAACUCGGGUGAAGGAACUAGGCAAAAUGGUGCCGUAACUUCGGGAGAAGGCACGCUGACAUGUAGGUGAAGUGAUUUACUCAUGGAGCUGAAGUCAGUCGAAGAUACCAGCUGGCUGCAACUGUUUAUUAAAAACACAGCACUGUGCAAACACGAAAGUGGACGUAUACGGUGUGACGCCUGCCCGGUGCCGGAAGGUUAAUUGAUGGGGUCAGCGCAAGCGAAGCUCCUGAUCGAAGCCCCGGUAAACGGCGGCCGUAACUAUAACGGUCCUAAGGUAGCGAAAUUCCUUGUCGGGUAAGUUCCGACCUGCACGAAUGGCGUAAUGAUGGCCAGGCUGUCUCCACCCGAGACUCAGUGAAAUUGAACUCGCUGUGAAGAUGCAGUGUACCCGCGGCAAGACGGAAAGACCCCGUGAACCUUUACUAUAGCUUGACACUGAACAUUGAGCCUUGAUGUGUAGGAUAGGUGGGAGGCUUUGAAGUGUGGACGCCAGUCUGCAUGGAGCCGACCUUGAAAUACCACCCUUUAAUGUUUGAUGUUCUAACGUGGACCCGUAAUCCGGGUUGCGGACAGUGUCUGGUGGGUAGUUUGACUGGGGCGGUCUCCUCCUAAAGAGUAACGGAGGAGCACGAAGGUUGGCUAAUCCUGGUCGGACAUCAGGAGGUUAGUGCAAUGGCAUAAGCCAGCUUGACUGCGAGCGUGACGGCGCGAGCAGGUGCGAAAGCAGGUCAUAGUGAUCCGGUGGUUCUGAAUGGAAGGGCCAUCGCUCAACGGAUAAAAGGUACUCCGGGGAUAACAGGCUGAUACCGCCCAAGAGUUCAUAUCGACGGCGGUGUUUGGCACCUCGAUGUCGGCUCAUCACAUCCUGGGGCUGAAGUAGGUCCCAAGGGUAUGGCUGUUCGCCAUUUAAAGUGGUACGCGAGCUGGGUUUAGAACGUCGUGAGACAGUUCGGUCCCUAUCUGCCGUGGGCGCUGGAGAACUGAGGGGGGCUGCUCCUAGUACGAGAGGACCGGAGUGGACGCAUCACUGGUGUUCGGGUUGUCAUGCCAAUGGCACUGCCCGGUAGCUAAAUGCGGAAGAGAUAAGUGCUGAAAGCAUCUAAGCACGAAACUUGCCCCGA
rnacentral:rRNA from 1 species